GAUGAACGCUGGCGGCGUGCUUAACACAUGCAAGUCGAACGGGAAAUAUUUCAUUGAGACUUCGGUGGAUUUGAUUUAUUUCUAGUGGCGGACGGGUGAGUAACGCGUGGGUAACCUGCCUUAUACAGGGGGAUAACAGUCAGAAAUGGCUGCUAAUACCGCAUAAGCGCACAGAGCUGCAUGGCUCAGUGUGAAAAACUCCGGUGGUAUAAGAUGGACCCGCGUUGGAUUAGCUAGUUGGUGGGGUAACGGCCCACCAAGGCGACGAUCCAUAGCCGGCCUGGGAGGGUGAACGGCCACAUUGGGACUGAGACACGGCCCAGACUCCUACGGGAGGCAGCAGUGGGGAAUAUUGCACAAUGGGGGAAACCCUGAUGCAGCGACGCCGCGUGAAGGAAGAAGUAUCUCGGUAUGUAAACUUCUAUCAGCAGGGAAGAUAGUGACGGUACCUGACUAAGAAGCCCCGGCUAACUACGUG
rnacentral:rRNA from 1 species